CGGCUAAAACUCUUCUCGCUAGGCCCUCUAUAGAGAUUAAGUAAGUUAAAGUCUAUAUAUAAAUAUAGACUUACCUUUAUUUAUAGUUUUACCUUAAUUAUAUAUUUAAGGCCUAAUAUACUUAUAUAAAAUAGAUCUAUAACUUUAGGAAAAGGAUUAGCUCUAAGGGUUAAGUAUAUAGCGCCUUAGGUAGAUACUAUAGGGGUAAGCUACUUUUAGCUAAGUAACUAGCCAGCGGCGUCUAAUAUCUAUAUAUUAAUACCUUUAAGAGGCUUUAGCUAUUUAAUAUAUAAUUAAUAACUAACUUAAAAUUAAUAUAGAUAAAGGAAAUCUAACUAUAUAAUUAAAAUAUAGUAUUAUAAUACCUAGAAAGUAAUAUUAAUAUAAUAUAAUUUCUAUUUAAUACUCUAAAUAUUAAAGUAAAGUAAUUUAAUUAAGUAUAAGUAAAUAGCGUAAGUAACUAUAACUUAAAAUUAGCGAGCUAGGGACCGCUAGAGGUCUCCCCUUUAGAGAGUUAAGUAAUAUAAAAGGCACUUACUAAUAAGGUAGCCCGCAUUAUAUAGGCCCCUAUAAUACUAUUAAAUUCUAGGAAAUCCCUAAAGCUUAUAUUAUAAAGUAGCUACUAAAAGGGAGGCUAUAGCUAGGGUAAUAACCUAGGGUAUAAUAAAAAUAUAUAAAAUAUAAUAAUAGAUAAUCUAUAGCUAAGCUUUAAGUUAAAGCCCCCGCUAGGGGCGCGGAUAUAAAUAUAAUUUAAUAACUUAAUAAUAAUAGGUUCUAGUGAGAAUAUAUAUUAUAUACCUCACUAGGGCUUAAGAUAUAGUCUAGCCUUCUAUAAAAUUAAAAGGGUUAAUACUCUUAAGGUAGCUAAAUACCUUAUUAUCUAAUUAAUAAUAUAUAUAAAUAGAUUAAUAAGAUUCCUAUUAUGUCUAUUUACUAUCUAGCGAAACUAUUAUUAAGGGAAUAAACUUAAUAGAAUUAAUAGGGAAAGAAGGCUUUAUUAAGCUUAACUCUAAUUUAAUAUUAUAAAAAGAUAUAGGAGGUAUAAAAUAAGUAAAAGCUUUAGCGCUAAUAAAAUCUUAUAACUCUUAUUAUUUUUUUACUUAAUUAAUAAAAUAGGGCCAGAUUUUUAUUUAAUUUCUAAUUUUAAGGUCUUUCGCGGUCUAAUUUAAGUUAAAGAUAUUAUUAAGUAAGGAGUUUAGCUAGGGCGGUAUAUCUAUUAAACUAUAAUAUAAGUAUCCUAAAGGGGGCUUAUAAAAAAUAGAAAUCUCUAGUAGAAUAAAAAGGUAAAAGUCCCCUUAAUUUUAAUCUUAAAUAUAAAUAUAAACUAUAAAAGUAGAGCCUAUUAAUCCUUUAGUCCCUUAAUAUUUAAGGCUAGAGGUAUUAAAAAAGUUAUUAUAGAGAUAAUUAGCUUAUAGCGGUUAAAUAUUUAUAGUAAUAUCGCUUUUUAAUCCUUUAAUAUUAACUCUUCCUAUUAUACUAAAGUAGAAUUUAAUAAAUAUUAAAUUAUUUAUCUAUUAAAUACCUUCUACUAAUAGGGAUAAUUAAGUCACUGAGGCUCUUAAGUAAUUACGCUAGCUAGUUAAUUAUAGCGACUAACCUAUAGGAGCUAUAUAAUAAUAUAAUUUAAAUUAAGGGAGGCUAUAGCGCCGCGAGGUAUUAUAUUAAUCCUAAGUAGGGCUAUAGUUAAAGUAAUCCUAUUAUAGUAGCUUAUAUAGAGCGCGGAAAGGUAUAGGCAGGCCUUAUAAAGGACUACUUAAGGGAUAUAUUAGACCCUCGGGAAACUAAGACCGCUGGAUAAGCGCCUAUAGCAUAAAUCCGCUAGGGGGCGACUAAGCUCGGGAGGAAAUACCUAAAGCGAGCCUUAGUAUUACUUUAAAUAGGAAAUAUACGCUAGGUUUAGACCGUUAUAAGAUAGGUUAGUUUUAGUCUAUUAAUAAUAUCGCGGUAAUAGUAAUUUAGCUUAAUAUAAAAGAAACUAUUAAUUUAGAUAAUUAGUUUUUAUAGCUAUCUAACUAAGUAAUACCGUAAAGCUAUUAUUUAUUACAUAAUAGGUAAAUACCUUUAAGUUAGAAUUUAUAUUAAAAGGCAAUCAUACUACCUAUAUAUAGAGAUAGAUAAAAAUAAGCCUUAGCUUAGCGUCUUAAUAGGCGAUUUUUCAAUAGUACUUAAAGUAUAUUAUAAUAUUUUAUAUAUUAUAAUUUU
rnacentral:rRNA from 1 species